GUAAAAGUGACGGAUUAGUAGUUGUGUCGUGAUCUUAAGCGAGCUGACGGGUGGUGCGAGUCAGUGUUGACGACAGAAUGAACUCACCGAUAAUCACUAAGAUGGUGAACGGCGUUAUCAUAACGCCAGUAGCUGUUUUCGUUUGUCAGCGUUACCGACCUUAAGUGUUUACCAUAAUUGUUGUGGUAAGAAGAUAGGUGGUACCGCGAUCCGCAUCGUCCUAUCG
rnacentral:ncRNA from 1 species